CCGAGUUUACAACUCCCAAACCCAAUGUGAACGUUACCAAACUGUUGCCUCGGCGGGGUCACGCCCCGGGUGCGUAAAAGCCCCGGAACCAGGCGCCCGCCGUAGGAACCAACCAAACUCUUUCUGUAGUCCCCUCGCGGACGUAUUUCUUACAGCUCUGAGCAAAAAUUCAAAAUGAAUCA
rnacentral:misc_RNA from 1 species